GCAGGGAAUGUAGCUCAGUGGUAGCCUUCCUGCUUAGCAUGCAGGAGAUCCUGGGUUCCAUGCCCAGUCCUGCA
rnacentral:tRNA from 1 species